rnacentral:rRNA from 1 species
UACGGAGGGUGCGAGCGUUGCUCGGAAUUAUUGGGCGUAAAGCGUACGCAGGCGGCUUGUCAAGUCGAGUGUGAAAUCCCGGGGCUCAACCCCGGACAUGCAUUCGAUACUGGCGAGCUUGAGUGCGGGAGAGGGAAGCGGAAUUCCUGGUGUAGAGGUGAAAUUCGUAGAUAUCAGGAGGAACACCGGUGGCGAAAGCGGCUUCCUGGCCCGACACUGACGCUCAUGUACGAAAGCGUGGGGAGCAAACAGGAUUAGAUACCCUGGUAGUCCACGCCGUAAACGAUGAGUGCUAGCUGCUGGGAAUGUUUACCGUCUCAGUGGCGAAGCUAACGCAUUAAGCACUCCGCCUGGGAAGUACGGCCGCAAGGCUAAA